UACGUAGGGUGCGAGCGUUAUCCGGAAUAACUGGGCGUAAAGGGUACGUAGGCGGAUAAGCAAGUUAGAAGUGAAAGGCUAUAGCUCAACUAUAGUAAGCUUUUAAAACUGUUUAACUUGAGAGAUGGAAGGGAAAGUGGAAUUCCAUGUGUAGCGGUGAAAUGCGUAGAUAUUUAGAGGAACACCGGUGGCGAAGGCGACUCUCUGGUCUGUAACUGACGCUGAGGCUCGAAAGCGUGGGGAGCAAACAGG
rnacentral:rRNA from 1 species